rnacentral:misc_RNA from 1 species
UGUCUCAUGUCUGUGGUCACAGUAAUCAGUAGGGUAUUUAAAUUCAAAAAUUGUAAUGUUUUAUUAUCAGUUUUAUGAUAAUUAAUGAAGUUUAAACUCGUGUGCUUUUAAUUCUAAUACCAGAAAGAUCCAGUGAUAAGUUUUUAAUUCAAAAUGUCAGGUGUUUUACUUUUACAAUCAUCGCCGCCCAAACUAGAAGAUGUUCAAAAGAAAAUAUUCAAUAAAGGCGCACUUGAAUUUCUAGCGAAUUUGCAUAGAAAGUUUGAUUUAAACAUAGAACAACUCUAUAAAAACAGAGUUCAAAGGGCGGUAGAUAUGAAAUCUUGUACCCUAGAUUUUAAAUUAUCUUCGGAAAGAUUGGAUAAAUCUUGGAAAAUAGCACCUUUGCCUACUAGGCUUCAGAAUCGUCACUUGGACUUGGGUGACGUCUCAGCAUCCAACACACCACACUUUGUGGAUGCUCUCAAUGCUGAUGUGCAAGGGAUCCAGGUCGAUUUUGAUGAUGGCCACUGCCCAACAUGGCGGAAUCAGCUCAUCGCCUUCAACAAUAUCCAGUUAGCUGUGAACGGCAAGUUGCCCGGAGCGCCAAUUAGUAUAACAACCAGCCCAGUUCUGAUGCUGAGACCUAGAGCAUGGAAUAUGAUAGAUCAUGACAUUUUGAUUGACGGCAAAGAAGCAAUUGGACCAUUGGUAGAUUUUGGACUCCUAAUGUAUCAUAAUGGAAAAAAGUUGUACGAAGCAAACAGCGGCCCAUACUUCUACCUUUCAAAGUUAGAAGGCGCUUCAGAAGCGCUUCUCUGGAACGAGAUAUUUGUAUGGAGUCAGGAUAUGCUCGGGUUACCGCAGGGCACUAUAAAGGCAUGUGUUUUGAUAGAGAACGUAAUAUCCACUUUUGAGCUGGAAGAAAUUUUGUUUGCCCUCAAAGACCAUUGCAUGGGAUUGAACUGUGGCAUUUGGGAUUAUUGUGCAUCUAUUAUUGCGAAAUUUGGUGACCGUAAAGAGUUCCUGUUACCCGAUAGGAACAAAUACGUUAAUAUGGAGAAGAAGUUCCUCAACAGCUACAUGCAGCUAGUGGUGACCACUUGCCACGAGCGAGGCGCGCUGGCCACCGGCGGCAUGGCGGCGGCUAUGCUGAAGCCGGGCAGCGAUGGCACCGAUGACAAGUCGAAGGCAAUAAUAAGCAAAGUUUUGGAGGCUAAGUCGAAGGAAAUAGACGCAGGAGUGGAUGGAUUUAUGGUGUACGACUCGCGUAUUGUCCCCCAUGUUAACGAGCUUUGGAAGAAGACCAGCGGAACUCCAAACCAAAUACACCGUAAAUUCGACCUUAACAUAACACCACAAGAUCUAUUAUCCCUGCCCAGUGGCGGGGUGACUAUGCAAGGGUUGAAACAUAAUGUGGCGGUAUCGAUAUUAUUCGUGUAUCACUGGCUAGCGGGCAUUGGACAUUUCUUCUACAGCGGAAAUGUAGAGGAUUCAGCCACAGCUGAGAUAUCUAGGGCGCAGAUAUGGCAGUGGAUUCGAUUCUCGCCAAUACUAGAAGACGAUCAGAACCAACACGUAACAGCGAAACUAGUGGAGAAAGCAGCAAAUAAUUUCACAAACCACGCUCACAAGAACCUUUGUCGCUCAAGCGCUGAGCGCAAGCGCCUCACAGCGGCCAAAUACAUGUGCCUCGAACUGUUCCUAGCUAGACAUCCCCCGGAGUUUGUCACUACUUAUCUGAACGAUAACCACAAGUUCAGAACAUUGCAUAACAAAGCCCUUCUGAGUAAUUUAUAAACGGCGAAAUAUGAAUCACUUGUCAUUUCCUAAGUCUAUUACUUGAGAUGUAUUUGCCUAAAUCACUAAAUAGUAGCAAUACUAAAGGAAAGAACCCAAAUACAUGUGCCUCGAACUGUUCCUAGCUAGACACUAGACAUCCCCCAGAGUUUGUCACUACUUAUCUGAACGAUAACCACAAGUUCAGAACAUUGCAUAACAAAGCCCUUCUGAGCAAUCUAUAAACGUCGAAAUAUUAAUCACUAAAUAGUAGCAAUACUAAAGGAAAGAACCCAAAUACAUGUGCCUCGAACUGUUCCUAGCUAGACAGUAGACAUCCCCCAGAGUUUGUCACUACUUAUCUGAACGAUAACCUCAAGUUCAGAAUAUUGCAUAACAAAGCCCUUCUGAGCAAUCUAUAAACGUCCAAAUAUGAAUCACUUGUCAUUCCAAUGUUGACUCUAAGUCUAUUACUUAUGAUGCAUUUUCCUAAACGAUAGCCACAAGCUCUCAACAUUCCAUGAUAAGCGCUUCUGAGCAAUCUAUAAAGCAAUUCAACAGUUGUUUCAGUGUAUACUUAAAGUCUGUUACUUAAGAUAUAUAUUUCUAUAUCGUUAAAUGGUAGCUACUAGAUUAAAAAUUGGAAUCUGAGAACGAAUGCAACAGCAGUCAUUCCAAUGUGUACUUAAACACGCAUCAUUCCAAUGUCGACUCUAAAGACUAAUACUUAAGAUGCAUUAUCCUAAGAUAGCCACAAGUCCAGAAUCUUGCACAAUAAAGCGCUUCAGAGCAAUCUAUAGACCUUAAAUGCAACUUCUCUCGUCAUUCUAAUGUCGACUUUAAGUCUGUUAUUUAAGAUGCAUUUUCCUUAAUUCACAACGGUGCACAACCAUGCUGUUCUAUAAAAUGCUAAAGAUAAUAAAGUGCUCAUUUCAAUAUGGACUUUAAGUCUUUUACUUAAGAUACAUUUCAUGUGACGUAUUAAAAAUACACUGUGCUUGAGUUUACUGACCUUUUGAUACUGAUAUUAUUGUACUGUAUAGAUAAUAAUUUAUUUCACAAACAAGUCCUUAUUCUUGUUGCCACGAAGUAAAGGAACUGGAGACGUAUUUCGUCAUAGAAAAUACUAAAAAAAUAUGUAAAUAACUGUAAAUACUUACUAUAACAUAGUUAACUGGCAAUCACAGACAGACACUUCUAUUUUUUUAGUAUUUAUAUAUGACAUAAAUGUUUUUUAAUCACUGACUUUUGCAAAGAAGCAAUGAAGAUGGUCUGACUAUCACUGCUUUUGUUUGUUCUAAUACAAUAACUUAAAUA